CUGCUAGUGCCCCUCUUCAGGAAAGUAGCAACUUGGAAUAAAAUCUGGCACGCCUCAGGUUUCUGGGGAGAGGGGAUGUUUGUUUCCUUGCCUUCCUUUGGCUGCCUACAUGU